rnacentral:lncRNA from 1 species
AGAGACUAAGUUCAAGGCCACAGCAGAAGUACUCACGGUGCAGCCCUGUCAGAUUCCAACAAAUUUACAAAUUCUGCU